UACGUAGGGGGCAAGCGUUGUCCGGAAUCAUUGGGCGUAAAGAGCGUGUAGGCGGCCCGAUAAGUCCGCCGUGAAAGUCCAGGGCUCAACCCUGGAAAGCGGGUGGAUACUGCCGGGCUAGAAUCCGGAAGAGGCGAGUGGAAUUCCCGGUGUAGCGGUGGAAUGCGUAGAGAUCGGGAAGAACAUCAGUGGCGAAGGCGGCUCACUGGGCCGGACCUGACGCUGAGGCGCGAAAGCGUGGGGAGCGAGUCCGG
rnacentral:rRNA from 1 species